rnacentral:rRNA from 1 species
GAUGAACGCUAGCGGCAGGCCUAAUACAUGCAAGUCGAACGGUGUCUUCGGACAUAGUGGCGCACGGGUGCGUAACACGUAUGCAACCUACCUUACAUUGGGGGAUAGCCUUUCGAAAGGGAGAUUAAUACCGCAUAAGACAGUAGCUGGGCAUCCAGCAGCUGUUAAAGAUUUAUCGAUGUAAGCUGGGCAUGCGUCCAAUUAGCUAGUUGGUGAGGUAACGGCUCACCAAGGCAAUGAUUGGUAGGGGAACUGAGAGGUCAAUCCCCCACACUGGCACUGAGAUACGGGCCAGACUCCUACGGGGGGCAGCAGUAGGGAAUAUUGGGCAAUGGACGCAAGUCUGACCCAGCCAUGCCGCGUGCAGGAUGAAGGCGUUAUGCGUUGUAAACUGCUUUUAUACAGGAAGAAACGACUCUUGCGAGAGGCAUUGACGGUACUGUAUGAAUAAGCACCGGCUAACUCCGUGCCAGCCGCCGCCGCAGUAA